AGUGUUGUGUUGUGUUAGUGUGUCGUAGAGGGUUAUGGAACCCUCGAGUUAGUGUAGCACCGAUAUACGGUGUUACGAGUUAGAUCGAAUCGUAGUUACUCAUAGUUAUUUUUGUGAUUGUGCUUGGUUUUUGAAAGUUUGUCUUGCAGGUUCCCGUUACUUUAAGCUAUAUCAUUGCAGGAGGCCAAGUCUAACUUAGUAACGG
rnacentral:lncRNA from 1 species